CACGUAGGGCGCAAGCGUUGUCCGGAAUUAUUGGGCGUAAAGAGCUCGUAGGCGGUCUGUUGCGUCCGCUGUGAAAACUCGGGGCUUAACCCCGAGCCUGCAGUGGAUACGGGCAGACUAGAGGUAGGUAGGGGAGAAUGGAAUUCCCGGUGUAGCGGUGAAAUGCGCAGAUAUCGGGAGGAACACCGGUGGCGAAGGCGGUUCUCUGGGCUUUACCUGACGCUGAGGAGCGAAAGCGUGGGGAGCGAACAGG
rnacentral:rRNA from 1 species